rnacentral:rRNA from 1 species
CCUACGGGAGGCUGCAGUGGGGAAUAUUGGACAAUGGGUGAAAGCCUGAUCCAGCCAUGCCGCGUGUGUGAAGAAGGCCUUCGGGUUGUAAAGCACUUUCAGUGGGGAAGAAAGCCUUGGGGCUAAUACCCUCGAGGAAGGACAUCACCCACAGAAGAAGCACCGGCUAACUCCGUGCCAGCAGCCGCGGUAAUACGGAGGGUGCGAGCGUUAAUCGGAAUUACUGGGCGUAAAGCGCGCGUAGGCGGUCUGAUAAGCCGGUUGUGAAAGCCCCGGGCUCAACCUGGGAACGGCAUCCGGAACUGUCAGGCUAGAGUGCAGGAGAGGAAGGUAGAAUUCCCGGUGUAGCGGUGAAAUGCGUAGAGAUCGGGAGGAAUACCAGUGGCGAAGGCGGCCUUCUGGACUGACACUGACGCUGAGGUGCGAAAGCGUGGGUAGCAAACAGGAUUAGAUACCCGAGUAGUC